GGCUCAGAUUGAACGCUGGCGGCAUGCCUUACACAUGCAAGUCGAACGGCAGCACGGGGCAACCUGGUGGCGAGUGGCGAACGGGGUGAGUAAUGCAUCGGAACGUGCCAUUGAGUGGGGGAUAACGUAGCGAAAGUUGCGCUAAUACCGCAUAUUCUGUGAGCAGGAAAGCAGGGGACCGCAAGGCCUUGCGCUCUUUGAGCGGCCGAUGUCAGAUUAGCUAGUUGGUGAGGUAACGGCUUACCAAGGCGACGAUCUGUAGCGGGUCUGAGAGGAUGAUCCGCCACACUGGAACUGAGACACGGUCCAGACUCCUACGGGAGGCAGCAGUGGGGAAUUUUGGACAAUGGGCGCAAGCCUGAUCCAGCCAUGCCGCGUGAGUGAAGAAGGCCUUCGGGUUGUAAAGCUCUUUCGGCCGGGAAGAAAUCGCAUGGGUUAAUACCCUGUGUGGAUGACGGUACCGGAAUAAGAAGCACCGGCUAACUACGUG
rnacentral:rRNA from 1 species